GAUGUGGAUUGCUAUGCUAAAUUAGCCAGCUAACGUUACUAAGUAUGUAACGUCAACGUUAGGCUAGCUAUCUUAGCUAACGUUAUAUGUAUCACCCGAUUGCUAAAUUACUACCCUACUAAACAAUGUUCUACGCAAGCAACAGAUGUGCCCUCAAAUUCGGCUAGCUUCACUAGCUACUAACAUUCGUUUGCUAAAUCUAAGCAGUUGCUAAAUCCUCUGACUACUGAUCAGCCUCUGAACGAACUCUGGCAUGAUAGAUCUGACACUAUGGAAACCUGAAUGACACAGAUUUAGCAGGCUGUCCUGCCUCACUCCCUUUUGACACCAGCUCCUGCCACAACAAAAUAGGAUUGCUCUGAAGAGUACCUGCUGGAUACAGAUUGGCCAAGCACACCUCUGCCAGCCACACCACCACUGCCCUUGACAUCUUCUCCACUGUGCCCAACAAGAGAUGAGGUUGCCUCUUCAUCUUGGAUCAUGGCUGAUGGACAGAGCCCAUUAGAGCUGCCAGUGAUGUCCUACUGGCCAAGCACCACAGGGAGGAAGAGAUCCUGAAGUGGGUGGAUCUGCUUUGCUCUUAACACCAGCCCAGAGAAGCUCCUAGAGACACACAGCUGUGGCAUUAUGUUACUGCAGAGUGAAACGGUUAGUGUCACUGUCACGUCCCCUGCCACCUGCACUUACACAGCAGAAAGCCUCAUCAAUUCAAGGAUGCCAUUUGAGGAUGUUGCUGCCGCUGCCUUCUUUCAAUGGGGGCUGGAGGCCUCGAAGCAGUGGUAGGCAGUGAGGAAGGAGCAAACUGAGGAAAGAAAAUCCUCCGAGCAGCAUCCCUCCGGCCAUCUAUACAGGUGCUGCCACCAGCAGCUGAAACAAGACCCCAACAGCCCUCACACACACAUACCAGCUUUCCAUGAGUGGCAGGAAUAUAUCUAGUUUUCUCCCUGUACCUGGCACAGGGCAUUGACAGGAGCUCAAACAGUCUGCCUUUUAUGAGACUGAAAAGUAAAGCUGGAUGGUGGAGAAGGGGGAGUGACUACAGACACACACAAAUAAAUAAAGAACUGAAAAUCUAUUUCCAUUGAUGGAAGUGGUUUGGACUCGUUUGAUUUGUGUUUAUUUCACAGGUACCAUUUUAGAAUAAGGCUGUAAUGUAACAAAAUGUGGAAAAAGUCAAGGGGUCUGAAUACUUAUUAUAAACCAAUUUCUAUAGUUAUUGUGUGAAUAAGUUUGUUGUACAAAGGAUUGUGCUCCAACAUUAUCAUAACUAUGGCUUUGAUUUCAUUAAAGUCAACCUCAAAGU